AUUUGUAUAGUUUAAAAAAACAUUACAUUUUCAUUGUAAAAUUAAGCUUUGUUUUACAAAUA
rnacentral:tRNA from 1 species